AGAAUCAACGCUGGCGGCGUGCCUAACACAUGCAAGUCGAACGAGAAAGUGGAGCAAUCCAUGAGUAAAGUGGCGCACGGGUGAGUAACACGUGACUAACCUACCCUUGAGUGGGGAAUAACUUCGGGAAACCGAGGCUAAUACCGCAUAACACCUACGGGUCAAAGGAGCAAUUCGCUUAAGGAGGGGUCGCGGCAGAUUAGUUAGUUGGUAGGGUAAUGGCCUACCAAGACGGUGAUCUGUA
rnacentral:rRNA from 1 species